AAAAAACUGAGCCUGUGGGCAGCAGGAGGAAAGUCUCAUUCGCCAGCAGGCAGCACCCUACACUGGCAGAAGGGGAAUCUGAGCCUCAGCAGCCCUGGGCAGGAUUUGCACAAAGUCUCCCGUUUCAAGUUGCAUGUCUCCGGAGUCCCAGGAAGGCGCCCAGCUCAGUCUCCCUCUCAGAGCCCCAAGGAUUGAUAAGAAACCCUUUGUACCACCCAUAGGACACAAAGGACAUUGGCAAAAGGACACCAACUAAACAGAAAUAACCAACCAAGAAGGCAAUUCUAACAUCGACACUGGGAAAGAAAACAGAUCCCUGGUCCCCAGAUGAUGACAUAGGUUCAGAGAGACUAAGUGUGUCAGCAAGAGGACAACCAAUAUUUACAGCCCAGGCCUCCUGACCCCAAAUUCAGGACACUUUCCUCUCAUCUGAGAACUCCUGAUCCUGCCUGUGGACUUUGAACACCCAUGAGCCUUGUUGUCAUGUACCAGGAAGAAUUCAGGGAAGGAAAAAAUAGUUUCUACUAAAUAAAUAAACUGUUAAGCUCUUUUAUAGGCUGAAUUGUGUCCUCCAAAAUGCAUGUGUUGAAGCAAGCCCUAACCCCCAGUAUCUCAGAGCAUGACUAUUUAGAAAUUGGGUCUUUAAAGAGGUGAUUAAGUUGAAAUGGGGUGUCAGGGUGGGACCUUAUCUAAUGUAAUUGAUGUCCUUAUUAGAAGACAUUAUGACACAAACAGAAAAGAAAAAAUAACAUGUGAGGAGACAGCAAGAAGGUAGCCAUCUGUGAGCCAAGGAGAGAUGGCUAAAAAGAACAACUUAAUCUUGAACUUCUUUAAAACACCUGCCAACACCUUGAUCUUGAACUUCUAGUCUUCAAAAC